rnacentral:rRNA from 1 species
UGGGGAAUAUUGCACAAUGGGCGCAAGCCUGAUGCAGCCAUGCCGCGUGUAUGAAGAAGGCCUUCGGGUUGUAAAGUACUUUCAGCGGGGAGGAAGGGAGUAAAGUUAAUACCUUUGCUCAUUGACGUUACCCGCAGAAGAAGCACCGGCUAACUCCGUGCCAGCAGCCGCGGUAAUACGGAGGGUGCAAGCGUUAAUCGGAAUUACUGGGCGUAAAGCGCACGCAGGCGGUUUGUUAAGUCAGAUGUGAAAUCCCCGGGCUCAACCUGGGAACUGCAUCUGAUACUGGCAAGCUUGAGUCUCGUAGAGGGGGGUAGAAUUCCAGGUGUAGCGGUGAAAUGCGUAGAGAUCUGGAGGAAUACCGGUGGGGAAGGCGGCCCCCUGGACGAAGACUGACGCUCAGGUGCGAAAGCGUGGGGAGCAAACAGG